GUUUUACACCGAGGAACGUAAAAGAAAACCUAUUACUAUACCCAUCAUGAAUGACACGCCUAUCAAAUUGCCAUGGUCUACCUAACAAAAUGUGUCCAGCCUGCAUGGGUACAAUAUCACAAGUAACCUCAUCUACAUAUUUUCCAAUAGAAAAUGACACUUUACAUUGCUUGGUUACCUUUGCUUCGCCGCUAUCAUUCAACCACUGAAGUCUGUAAGGAUUAGGGUGUUUAAUAGUUUCUAGUCCUAAUUUAUCAACUAAAAUAGUACUAGCACAAUUAACUUGACUACCCGAAUCUAUUAUCAUGCUACAGACUUUACC
rnacentral:lncRNA from 1 species